rnacentral:lncRNA from 1 species
GGAGAGGAACAUUACCAUAUUGAUAUUUUUUCUGCAUUAGAUUUCAGAUUUUAGAGUUUAUCUACUUUGACUUCACUGCAUAAUACAUGUUUUCUAACACACAAAGAGCGUGUAUUCAAGCAUAUACAUGUGAGGAUCUUGAAAUUGAUAGCUACAAUAUGCGUAUGUGCUUUUUCAUAGAAGAAGAGGUGAUGAAGAAGUAAACCACAACAAACAUAUUUUGUUUUCCAUUUCUUUGGUUGGUUCCAUGGUUGUGGAUUGAAC